rnacentral:rRNA from 1 species
ACGCUAGCGGCAGGCUUAACACAUGCAAGUCGAGGGGUAACAGGAGUGCUUGCACUCGCUGACGACCGGCGCACGGGUGCGUAACGCGUAUAGAACCUACCUUUUACUGAGGGAUAGCCUUUAGAAAUGAAGAUUAAUACCUCAUAGUAUUGCGAUUUGGCAUCAGAUUGUAAUUAAAGAUUUAUUGGUAAAAGAUGGCUAUGCGUCUUAUUAGCUAGAUGGUAAGGUAACGGCUUACCAUGGCAACGAUAAGUAGGGGCCCUGAGAGGGGGAUCCCCCACACUGGUACUGAGACACGGACCAGACUCCUACGGGAGGCAGCAGUGAGGAAUAUUGGGCAAUGGAGGCAACUCUGACCCAGCCAUGCCGCGUGCAGGAAGACUGCCCUAUGGGUUGUAAACUGCUUUUAUACAGGAAGAAACACACCUACGUGUAGGUGCUUGACGGUACUGUAAGAAUAAGCACCGGCUAACUCCGUGCCAGCAGCCGCGGUAAUACGGAGGGUGCAAGCGUUAUCCGGAAUCAUUGGGUUUAAAGGGUCCGCAGGCGGUCAAUUAAGUCAGA